rnacentral:rRNA from 1 species
GUCCACGCCCUAAACGAUGUCAACUAGUUGUUGGGUGACUUGUUCACUUAGUAACGUAGCUAACGCGAGAAGUUGACCGCCUGGGGAGUACGGUCGCAAGAUUAAAACUCAAAGGAAUUGACGGGGCCGCACAAGCGGUGGAUUAUGUGGAUUAAUUCGAUGCAACGCGAAAAACCUUACCUACCCUUGACAUGCCAGGAAGUUGACAGAGAUGUUGACGUGCCCGAAAGGGAAUCUGGACACAGGUGCUGCAUGGCUGUCGU